GACGUAGGGCGCGAGCGUUGUCCGGAUUUAUUGGGCGUAAAGAGCUCGUAGGCGGCUUAGUAAGUCGGCGGUGAAAUACCGAGGCUCAACCUCGGCACUGCCGUCGAUACUGCUAUGGCUAGAGUUUGGUAGAGGAGAACGGAAUUCCCGGUGUAGCGGUGAAAUGCUUAGAUAUGACAUAGAACACCAAUUGCGAAGGCAGCUUACUACACAGUAAUUGACGCUGAGGCACGAAAGCGUGGGGAUCAAACAGG
rnacentral:rRNA from 1 species